rnacentral:rRNA from 1 species
AGUCGAGCGGGGUAGCAAUACCUAGCGGCAGACGGGUGCGUAACAUGUGGGAAUCUGCCUUUUGGUUCGGAACAACAUGGGGAAACCUGUGCUAAUACCGGAUAAGUCCUAACGGAGAAAGUUUUAAUGCCAAAAGAUGAGCCCGCAUUUGAUUAGCUUGUUGGUGAGGUAAAAGCUCACCAAGGCUAUAAUCAAUAGCUGAUUUGAGAGGAUGAUCAGCCACACUGGGACUGAGAUACGGCCCAGACUCCUACGGGAGGCAGCAGUGGGGAAUCUUGCACAAUGGGCGAAAGCCUGAUGCAGCGAUGCCGCGUGAGUGAAGAAGGCCUUUGGGUUGUAAAGCUCUUUUGUCGGGAAAGAUAAUGACUGUACCCGAAGAAUAAGGUCCGGCUAACUUCGUGCCAGCAGCCGCGGUAAUACGAAGGGACCUAGCGUAGUUCGGAAUUACUGGGCGUAAAGAGUAUGUAGGCGGCUAGAUAAGUUAAUUGUGAAAGCCCAAAGCUUAACUUUGGAACUGCAAUUAAAACUAUUUAGCUAGAGUAUGAUAGAGGAAAGCGGAAUACAUAGUGUAGAGGUGAAAUUCGUAGAUAUUAUGUAGAACACCAGUUGCGAAGGCGGCUUUCUGGAUCAUUACUGACGCUGAGAUACGAAAGUAUGGGUAGCGAAGAGGAUUAGAUACCCUCGUAGUCCAUACCAUAAACGAUGAUUAUUAAAUGUGGGGAAUUAUUUCUCUGUAUUAUAGCUAACGCGUUAAAUAAUCCGCCUGGGGAGUACGACCGCAAGGUUAAAACUCAAAUGAAUUGACGGGGACCCGCACAAGCGGUGGAGCAU